UGAGGAAUUUUGCGCAAUGGGGGAAACCCUGACGCAGCGACGCCGCGUGAAGGAUGAAGGCCUUCGGGCCGUAAACUCCUGUCAGAGGUGAAGAAUGCCCGCAAGGGUUUGACGGUAACCUCAGAGGAAGCCCCGGCUAACUACGUGCCAGCAGCCGCGGUAAUACGUAGGGGGCAAACGUUACUCGGAAUUGCUGGGCGUAAAGGGUGCGUAGGCGGCUGGGAAAGUCAAGGAUGAAAUCCCGUGGCUCAACUGCGGAACGGUCCUUGAAACUACUCGGCUUGAGGAUAACCGAAGAGAACGGAAUUCCCGGUGGAGCGGUGAAAUGCGUAGAUAUCGGGAGGAACACCUGAGGCGAAAGCGGUUCUCUAGACUACUCCUGACGCUGAGGCACGAAAGCUAGGGGAGCAAACGG
rnacentral:rRNA from 1 species